UAGGGAAUCUUCCGCAAUGGGCGAAAGCCUGACGGAGCAACGCCGCGUGAGUGAUGAAGGUCUUCGGAUUGUAAAACUCUGUUAUUAGGGAAGAACAAAUGUGUAAGUAACUAUGCACGUCUUGACGGUACCUAAUCAGAAAGCCACGGCUAACUACGUGCCAGCAGCCGCGGUAAUACGUAGGUGGCAAGCGUUAUCCGGAAUUAUUGGGCGUAAAGCGCGCGUAGGCGGUUUUUUAAGUCUGAUGUGAAAGCCCACGGCUCAACCGUGGAGGGUCAUUGGAAACUGGAAAACUUGAGUGCAGAAGAGGAAAGUGGAAUUCCAUGUGUAGCGGUGAAAUGCGCAGAGAUAUGGAGGAACACAAGUGGCGAAGGCGACUUUCUGGUCUGUAACUGACGCUGAUGUGCGAAAGCGUGGGAAUCAAACAGG
rnacentral:rRNA from 1 species